rnacentral:rRNA from 1 species
GGGGGUACACGAGCGGCGGACGGGUGAGUAACGCGUGGGAAUCUACCCCAAACUGAGGGAUAAGCAUUGGAAACGAUGUCUAAUACCGCAUAUGGUCUUCGGAUUAAAGCUUCGGCGGUUUGGGAAGAGCCCGCGUAAGAUUAGCUAGUUGGUGAGGUAAAGGCUCACCAAGGCGACGAUCUUUAACUGGUUUGAGAGGAUGAUCAGUCACACUGGAACUGAGACACGGUCCAGACUCCUACGGGAGGCAGCAGUUAGGAAUUUUCCACAAUGGGCGAAAGCCUGAUGGAGCAAUGCCGCGUGCAGGAUGAAGGCCCUAGGGUUGUAAACUGCUUUUAUACGUGAAGAAUAUGACGGUAACGUAUGAAUAAGGAUCGGCUAACUCCGUG